CAGCCCUUGACAUGGCAGGACGGUUUCCAGAGAUGGAUUCCUUCACUUCGGUGACCUGCACACAGGUGCUGCAUGGCUGUCGUCAGCUCGUGUCGUGAGAUGUUGGGUUAAGUCCCGCAACGAGCGCAACCCUCGCCUUUAGUUGCCAUCAUUUAGUUGGGCACUCUAGAGGGACUGCCGGUGAUAAGCCGGAGGAAGGUGGGGAUGACGUCAAGUCUUCAUGGCCCUUACGGGCUGGGCUACACACGUGCUACAAUGGCGGUGACAGAGGGCAGCUACUUCGCGAGGAGAAGCUAAUCCCUAAAAGCCGUCUCAGUUCGGAUUGCACUCUGCAACUCGAGUGCAUGAAGUUGGACUCGCUAGUAAUCGCAGAUCAGCACGCUGCGGUGAAUACGUUCCC
rnacentral:rRNA from 1 species